ACGCUCGACACCUACGGGAGCAGCAGUAGGGAAUCUUCCACAAUGGGCGCAAGCCUGAUGGAGCAACACCGCGUGUGUGAAGAAGGGUUUCGGCUCGUAAAGCUCUGUUGUUGGAGAAGAACGUGCGUGAGAGUAACUGUUCACGCAGUGACGGUAUCCAACCAGAAAGUCACGGCUAACUACGUGUCAGCAGCCGCGGUAAUCUGAGCGGGCUGGCAAGGC
rnacentral:rRNA from 1 species